GACAGAGGGUGCAAACGUUGCUCGGAAUUACUGGGCGUAAAGCGCGUGUAGGCGGUCUCGCGAGUCGGGUGUGAAAGCCCGGGGCUCAACCCCGGACGUGCAUUCGAUACUACGAGGCUUGAGUACUGUAGAGGAUGGCGGAAUUCCCGGUGUAGAGGUGAAAUUCGUAGAUAUCGGGAGGAACACCAGUGGCGAAGGCGGCCAUCUGGACAGUGACUGACGCUGAGACGCGAAAGCGUGGGUAGCAAACAGG
rnacentral:rRNA from 1 species